rnacentral:tRNA from 1 species
AUAGGUAUGAUGGAAAAAAGGUAGACAUGUUAGAUUUAGAAUCUAGUAACAUUUUGUUGUGAGGGUUCAAGUCCCUCUACCUAUA